UUUCCCCUCUCUCUUCCCCCAGAUCACCUUCACAGCUCUCCCGGCGACCGGCGACCAGCGCACCUCUCGCCAGCACUUCCCCCCCCUUCCUGCGCAGCUCUUCGAAGGAUCACCUCAUUCGCCACAUCGGCAGUAAGAUUCUGUUUCUUCUCCUCCGCUCCCCUUCUCUCCCAUCUUCUUCUUCUUCUUCUAAAGUUCUAAUCCUCUCUCCCCUUCUUUUUUUCUCUCGAAGGCAGAUGGCAGAUCCCGGUGCCGGCGGUGACCUUCGGGCAGUCCUUGGACUCGCUCUGUUCAUGUUGGUGACUUCCCUCUCUCCGAUCGCGUCGUCGUACGGGGUGUUCUUGCUACGCAACAAGCUCAGGCGGUCGAAGCAGAAGAAGAUGAAGGAGGAGCAGGAUCUGCGGCGGCACGAGCUUUUCCGGCGCGAGCAGGAGCUCCGGGCACAGGUGGCCGCCCUGCAGGCCGCCCUUGCCCGGAAGCACGCUCUUGCCGUUGCCGGUAAGUGACGGAGGAGAUGCUUGGUGUGCCCGUGUGAUCCUCAACUGUGCCCAUCUGACGAUUAAUCGUGUGCCCUAGGAGUAGGAAGCAAUGCCCCUUGCUUGUUUAGAAGCAUCUGAUGCCUGUCACCAACUUGAUCUAGUUUUAUUAGUAUGUAGUUUGAACUAGCCUGUGUCAAGUUUUAUUAGUAUGUACUAGCAGUUUGAACCAUCCUCAGUGGAGAUGGCACCUACAUACGUAUAAACUAGAAAACCAGGAAUGACCUAUUCCAAAAAUACUGCAGAAUGGGCGUGUGUUUCAGUCUUUA
rnacentral:lncRNA from 1 species